AUGGAGAUUUGUCUCGGUUACCAUUGCGACAAAGGAGCCACGAAAUUGCAGAGAAAAAUCAGAGGAAAGUUCAUAUUUGUAGGUUUGGAUAGUUUUUUUUACAUGUCUCUGCAAAUUGGCAGUAGCUGCAAUGGCAGGUUUGACAAUUUUGGACAGCAACAUAGUAACAGGGCAGCAGGACUAUUUUUGGACAGAGAGGGAACAACUGCAGUCAUUUGGAACUUUGGAGGAUAUCAUAGAUUGAUUCAAAGCUUGACUUCAAAGAAAACUCUAGCAAUAUGUGUAGAUUCAGUGACGUUUGGAAUUCUUUUGUAA